rnacentral:rRNA from 1 species
GAUGAACGCUGGCGGCGUGCCUAAUACAUGCAAGUCGAGCGAACAGACGAGGAGCUUGCUCCUCUGACGUUAGCGGCGGACGGGUGAGUAACACGUGGAUAACCUACCUAUAAGACUGGGAUAACUUCGGGAAACCGGAGCUAAUACCGGAUAAUAUAUUGAACCGCAUGGUUCAAUAGUGAAAGACGGUUUUGCUGUCACUUAUAGAUGGAUCCCGGCCGCAUUAGCUAGUUGGUAAGGUAACGGCUUACCAAGGCAACGAUGAGAAGCCGACCUGAGAGGGUGAUCGGCCACACUGGAACUGAGACACGGUCCAGACUCCUACGGGAGGCAGCAGUAGGGAAUCUUCCGCAAUGGGCGAAAGCCUGACGGAGCAACGCCGCGUGAGUGAUGAAGGUCUUCGGAUCGUAAAACUCUGUUAUUAGGGAAGAGCAAAUGUGUAAGUAACUAUGCACGUCUUGACGGUACCUAAUCAGAAAGCCACGGCUAACUACGUG